rnacentral:rRNA from 1 species
GAUGAACGCUGGCGGCGUGCCUAAUACAUGCAAGUCGAGCGAACAGACGAGGAGCUUGCUCCUCUGACGUUAGCGGCGGACGGGUGAGUAACACGUGGAUAACCUACCUAUAAGACUGGGAUAACUUCGGGAAACCGGAGCUAAUACCGGAUAAUAUAUUGAACCGCAUGGUUCAAUAGUGAAAUACGGUUUUGCUGUCACUUAUAGAUGGAUCCGCGCCGCAUUAGCUAGUUGGUAAGGUAACGGCUUACCAAGGCGACGAUGCGUAGCCGACCUGAGAGGGUGAUCGGCCACACUGGAACUGAGACACGGUCCAGGCUCCUACGGGAGGCAGCAGUAGGGAAUCGUCCGCAAUGGGCGAAAGCCUGACGGAGCAACGCCGCGUGAGUGAUGAAGGUCUUCGGAUCGUAAAACUCUGUUAUUAGGGAAGAACAAAUGUGUAAGUAACUAUGCACGUCUUGACGGUACCUAAUCAGAAAGCCACGGCUAACUACGUG